ensembl:snRNA U2 U2 spliceosomal RNA
CAAGCUUCUCGGCCUUUUGGCUAAGAUCAAGUGUAGUAUCUGUUCGAAGCGUAGGGGGGCUUGGCAUCCUAGCUAAGGGAUGUCAAGCCGGGAUCCUCC